AACGAACGCUGGCGGCGUGCUUAACACAUGCAAGUCGAACGAGAAAGGGGCUUCGGCCCCGAGUAGAGUGGCAGACGGGUGAGUAACACGUGGGUAACCUACCCCUUGGCGGGGGAUAACCAUUCGAAAGGAUGGCUAAUACCGCAUAAGACCACGUUUCUUAGGGAAUGUGGUAAAAGGCUUCGGCCACCGAGGGAGGGGCCCGCGUCCGAUUAGCUAGUUGGUGAGGUAACGGCUCACCAAGGCGACGAUCGGUAGCUGGUCUGAGAGGAUGACCAGCCACACUGGUACUUAGACACGGACCAGACUCCUACGGGAGGCAGCAGUGGGGAAUAUUGCGCAAUGGGCGAAAGCCUGACGCAGCAACGCCGCGUGGGUGAAGAAGGCCUUCGGGUCGUAAAACCCUGUCAGAUGGGAAGAAACCUGCGCAAGCAGCUGACGGUACCAUCAGAGGAAGCACCGGCUAACUCCGUGCCAGCAGCCGCUGUAAUAC
rnacentral:rRNA from 1 species